GCCCGCGCGCCACGAACGUGCCCGACAAGCCGCGCCGCUUAAUUUCUGAAGAGAUUUAUAUUUUUUUUGUUGUCAGGAAAUGAACAAAUACUUAUCAAUGUAAAAACUGCUAUCUCCGAUCUCCCCGCCGGGUUUUUCAUACUGAUAUUCUUUGCACCCCGUAACACAGGAAAUGAAAAUCUUCUCCGCCUCUCACGUCGCCGCUGCGCCUUCAAAUCCUCUGCGAGCAGACUGGCCUCCCCCCACCGGCCCCCUCCCGGGCUCCCCUCCCCGGAUGAAAAAGUAUUCCCUUUCAGCAUGAGGAAUCGUGGGCCCUGGGGCUUGUAUUGAUUCAGAACAAGGCCUCAUAAAACACUAGCAGGUGAUUUAGUUUCAUAUUUUGAUUCCUUUGUUUAGACAGUUUCUCUCAGGUUCUCCUGUGUCGGCCCGGGGACCCCAGCAUCCCUCCUUUGAUGUUGGAGGGACACCCGGGCCGUCGAGCUCGCCCCGCUCUUGUGGGUGACUUUGUGCUCUUGAGGGCGCAGCAUUUCCCAAGGUUCUCCCCCACCCUCACCCGGCGAGCCCAGGCUCUGCGGUCAGGCUCUCAAAUCCUGCAAGGAUUGAUGGUCCUCACAGAGGGAUCAAUACUACAUUUUAAAUAUUACAAUACCUUUUAUUGAGACACUAUUACAACACAAAUGUUUUACCCUGUCACGGGACCCAGUUAAAAUUGCUUUUGACCAUCUUAUUGGUGGGCUUCCCCGGCCCUCUGUGUUUCCCACUUCUGGGAGGAGUCACUGUGCUCCCGGGAUGGGCUGGCCCCGCCCAGGAGGCCUGGGAAGGAGGAGGAUGCAGCCUGGGAGGGCUGUGGGGCACCUGGGGAGUGCUGCAGAAACUGGCUGUUGC
rnacentral:lncRNA from 1 species